UCCACAAAUCUCUAACAGUCAUGCCGGUA
rnacentral:piRNA from 1 species